rnacentral:lncRNA from 1 species
AAACAAUCAAAGUAAAGUGCACUUUCAAAUACUGUUGAAACAUGUGUCAAUACUGGAAAUCUUUGUGAUGGCCUAAAAUUUUAUUUUCAUCUCUAGUUAUAAAAUUUAAAACUUCAAAAGUAGGAUAGAUCGAGCUGAUCAAUAAACACUUAAAAAUCUUGAGAAUUUACGAGAUGAUAAAUUUAAGGAUUUUUGGACUUCAAAAUAACCUCUUUUAGUGAAUUUUUG